GUUUUGUGUACAGAGGUCAAUGGAGAUGGAAAGUAUGAGCGGAUAAGUGGAACAAGCCUUUGGUGGAGGCACAGUUUUAGGUUUGAUGAAUUGCUUUGAGUUAAGUGAACAUGAAAAUAAGACGGAGUUAUUGACAUGCUUGUGGUGGGGAUAUCUACGGUGGAACAGAUUCUUUAAAGGAUCAAGAUGGAGCACAGUUCAGAGGAUACCAAUACCAAUCUCAAGGAGAAGGUCUUA